UACUGCUAUCGGUGUUCGACUAAGCCAUGCUAGUUAAAUGUUCUUCGUGAACAUAGCGGACUGCUCAGUAACACGUGGACAAUCUGCCCUUGGGUUCAGCAUAACCCCGGGAAACUGGGGAUAAUUCUGAAUAGAUCACAUAUGCUGGAAUGCUUUGUGAUUAAAAGAUCCGUCGCCCAAGGAUGGGUCUGCGGCCUAUCAGGUUGUAGUGGGUCUAGAGUACCCACUAGCCAACGACGGGUACGGGUUGUGAGAGCAAGAGCCCGGAGAUGGAUUCUGAGACAUUAAUCCAGGCCCUACGGGGCGCAGCAGGCGCGAAACCUUUACACUGCGGGAAACCGCGAUAAGGGGACACCGAGUGCCAGCAUACAAUGCUGGCUGUCCACAUGUGUAAAUAGCAUGUGAUAGCAAGGGCCGGGCAAGACCGGUGCCAGCCGCCGCGGUAACACCGGCGGCCCGAGUGGUAAUCACUAUUAUUGGGUCUAAAGGGUCCGUAGCCGGUUUAAUCAGUCUUCCGGGAAAUCUGACAGCUCAACUGUUAGGCUACCGGGGGAUACUGUUAGACUUGGGA
rnacentral:rRNA from 1 species